GAUGAACGCUAGCGGCAGGCUUAAUACAUGCAAGUCGAGGGGCAGCAGGACUGUAGCAAUCCAGUUGCUGGCGACCGGCACACGGGUGCGGAACACGUACGCAACCUACCCAAAACUGGGGGAUAGCCCGGGGAAACCCGGAUUAAUACCUCGUAACCUCUUUAAGUGGCAUCACUUGAUAAGUAUAGCUCCGGCGGUUUUGGAUGGGCGUGCGCCUGAUUAGGUAGUUGGUGCGGGUAACGGCCCACCAAGCCUGCGAUCAGUAACUGGUGUGAGAGCACGACCAGUCACACGGGCACUGAGACACGGGCCCGACUCCUACGGGAGGCAGCAGUAAGGAAUAUUGGUCAAUGGACGCAAGUCUGAACCAGCCAUGCCGCGUGAAGGAUGAAGGUCCUCUGGAUUGUAAACUUCUUUUAUGGGGGACGAAACCCGGAUAUUCUUAUCCGAUUGACGGUACCUCAGGAAUAAGCACCGGCUAACUCCGUG
rnacentral:rRNA from 1 species